rnacentral:misc_RNA from 1 species
GGCAAGCCUAGCUUUCUUCCUGUUGAAACUCCAGAUUUCAUCUUCGAGUUUAAAAUGGGCGAUAGUCAGUACUCAUUUUCUCUUACCACUUUCAGUCCUUCUGGGAAGCUUGUUCAGAUUGAACAUGCCCUAACAGCAGUUGGAUCGGGCCAAACAUCUUUAGGAAUCAAAGCUGCUAAUGGUGUUGUCAUUGCAACAGAGAAGAAGCUACCAUCUAUUUUAGUUGAUGAAACAUCGGUUCAAAAGAUUCAGAUACUAACACCUAACAUUGGGGUUGUUUAUAGGUUCGAUUUCUGAUGCACACUUGAAUAGUUUCAAGCUAAGUUAUUUUACAUUAGCAGUGUCUAAUUGUUUAGGAUUUGCAAAAUUUAUAUUUCUAGGUAUUUAUCUUUCUGGAGAAUCUGAACUAGGGUCCAACAUAAUCAUUUUUUGGUGCUCUUUGGUUGGUGGACUUUAUGGAAUUAGAUGCAGGAUUUUCUUUUGUGGGGUCUUAUUGGAGGCACUAGGUCACCCCUUUUCAUGACAUCUCAUUAUAUGAAUUUGCUAUGUUGGCUUGAUUUCCUUUUAUCUGCCCAAUAUUGAUAAUUCUUUUCCCCCUUUGUUUCCUCAUUGCUGUAUGAUGUAGUCUUAAUUCAAUCUUCACUUGUUUUUGCAGUGGAAUGGGUCCUGAUUUUCGAGUUUUGGUUCGAAAAAGCAGGAAGCAGGCAGAGCAAUAUCACCGACUAUACAAAGAACCUAUCCCUGUUACACAACUUGUAAGGGAAACUGCUGCUGUCAUGCAGGAGUUCACUCAGUCUGGGUAAUUAUCACUUUUUUGUUUCAUGUCUUUAUCCCUACUUUUUUUGGUAAGAAUAAAGUUGACUAACUUCUGUUCACUCUUGUCUGAAAUGGCCCUACUUUUUGCAUGAAUUUACAUCCUUUUUGUUACCUGCUUAUGUUUGGAGAAAGCAAAGAGAUUUAUUCAAUGAACUAGGCAGUUUGUUAACUUUUGUACAUUCUACUGGAUAACGACCCUUUUUGUCCCACUGAUUUCUUCCUUUUGUUCUGGUAGUGGUGUCAGGCCUUUUGGUGUAUCACUGCUGGUUGCAGGGUAUGAUGACAAAGGUCCACAAUUAUAUCAGGUGGAUCCAUCAGGUUCAUAUUUCUCUUGGAAAGCUUCAGCUAUGGGGAAAAAUGUUUCUAAUGCAAAGACAUUUCUUGAGAAGAGGUCUGCUUAAUUGAAUUGUUGGUUGUAUUUAAAUAAGAUAACUUUUAGCUACUUUGUAAUAGUUGUUGUUUGAAGCCAUGAUUGAAUUUUGAUGAUUAAUGGAGCAGCACAUCUCUGUGAAUUGGCAAAAUGUUAUUGGUUAUUCGUGUGUUUCUUGUAGCUCUAUACAUUGCGCAGCCUUAGGAGGGCAAAAAAAUGAAUAAAUUUUUGGGCUCAUACUUAUUUACUUUCAGUUUGAGAUUGCAUUGUGAUUUGAGUUUUUAUAUAAUACUGGCAAUCACUUUGUUUCUUUCAUUUAGGUAUACCGAUGAUAUGGAGCUUGAUGAUGCGGUUCAUACAGCAAUAUUAACAUUAAAAGAAGGGUAGCCCUAUAACUUUUCUGAUAUUCCAGUAGAGUUGGUACUGUUUUAGUAUUUAAAAGUAAUCUUGAAUGAAUUGUUGUCUUCAUCUUUUUCCUCUUGCAUAAAUAUAUGCUCUUUACUCGUUACUAUGUUUAUUUGUAACGUUUUAUCUCAGCUGGAUGCAAAUUUGUUGUCUACAAUGGAAUUUGUGGAUUGAAAUGGAAAAAAGAAAAUGUAGUGUCACAGCAGCAUACAUAAAGUUUGUUCUUAAAAUUGAAUAGAAUGGAGAUAAGGGAUCUUUGGAGCCCACUCCAAAUGUUUUGGGCUGUAAUCCGUGGUUGAGUCGGGUAUAAAGCUUCUAAACUAUCAAAGUGGGUUGGCACUGAAUAGUUCAUUGUAUUUUCUUGUGUUUCUGGGGCAUAUAGCUUGACUGGCAACUUCUAGUUUAUAGCAUGCGUCUGAUGUGAUUGCAUAAUGACUUUUAUGUUCUAGCACGAUUUGUCUCUGGUGAAAGAACAUUCUAUAACAUUUUUCCCUGCAUCUUUUGUAGGUUUGAAGGACAAAUCUCAGGCAAAAACAUUGAGAUUGGCAUAAUCGGUGCAGACAAAAAAUUUCGGUAAGUAGCCCCUUUUUUUCUAUUUAAUACAUGUAAAAGAAGUUAUCACUGUAGUUGCUUUUUUCUUAUGUUACUUUUUUUCAUCGUAAUUGUUCUUUAUUCAAGUUUAUUUUUAAAAAUUAUAAAUGGGUGGAAUUUAAAAGUGAUGGAAAGCGAGAUGAUUGGUAGAUAGAAGGGCUUGGUAGAUUGUAAGUUCGUCUGAAGUUGAAUGUUGGGCUGAGCCGAAAGUCAUGCUCGGGCCUCUGUGAAUUGCCUUCAUCUUACUGUGUCUGAACUUUUGGGUUCUAAUUAGAAUUUUUUUUUUUUCAUAUUUCUUGUGCAUAAUGUCCAUGAAAUCCUCCAAUGAUGGUUGAUGAGUCGGUUGAUCCUUUUUGGUAUGGUAUGAUGACAAACAUCAAAAAACCAACGUCUGAUCCACAUGUAUUUAAUGCUUGAAAUGAACACGAUACACAAGUGGGAGGAUUGGAGGAUAUGAAGUGAUAUUAAUGCAAAUGAACAACAUUUGGUAGCUAAUGUUCCCAAAUGGUUAAGAUAUAGGAUCGCCAUCAUGAUUCAUGAGGUCCUUGGUUCAAAUUUCGUUGGGUUUGUAGUAGAGUUUUUCGAAAGGGGAAGCUGCCUCCCCACUUUAUAGCUUAUUUAGUAUUUCAAAAGAAAAAAAAAACAGGCAUCUGAUGUGUGUUUAUUUCAUUGCAGGGUGCUAACGCCAGCUGAAAUUGAUGAUUACUUGGCUGAAGUAGAGUAGCCUGUUUUUGUUCUGCUGCAACUUGAAAGGAUUCUCUAUUUCAUUUGCCUAAAGAUAGAAAUUAAGGGACAUUAGUUCUGAACUUUAAUGGUCAGCAGUUUGUAGUUAUUGUUCCUUUUUUCCUUCAAUCCAAACCCAUUGGACAUGAGUGUAUUGAGUUUCUCGUUUCAAACUACGAACAAAAUUCCUUUGGCAAA